rnacentral:lncRNA from 1 species
AAGCCUGCAGAAGCGCUACCCGGCCAACGUGGCAGCCCCCUUCCACCCGCAGCCUUACGGGAAAGUGGUGAGGGGGCAGCCCCAGCCCCAGCUGCGGGGGCGUAGGGGGCGGCCAGGGGAGAGUCCAGUCAGGACCCUUUGGCUGUGAGGGGCUUUAUUUAUAGAUCAAACAUCACACCUGCAUCCUGCAUUUUACAUCUUCUCUCACCUUCUCACAACUCCUCAGGGUUAGUACAAUUACCCCAUUUUACAGAUGAGCAGAUAGACUCAGAGGAGUUAAGUGACGUGGCCAAGGCCACGCAGCCUUUGCCCACGGCUGGGUCAUGGCUCCUUGGUUCUUUCUCAGUCUUUGAUUUCUAUUUGUGGUGUGUUUUUGUUCUGGGCCUGUGAGCGCACAGUGGCUGGGGGAGGGCAGGAGGGGGCGUGCUGUUUCUGGCUCCUUCAUCUCAGCACAUCCAAGCUGGUGGGAAGAAAGCGGAGCAGGGCCAGCUGCUGAGGACCCAUCCCUUAGGUUCUGGUCCUGGAAUGUGUGGACCAAGUGCCCUGGUCCCUUUGCUAGAGAAAAGGAGUGGGAGUCAGCCAACUGACGGCAGCAGAGAGUGGGGACCAACCCCCAGUACAAAAUCAGGUAUUUAUGAUCUCAACUGGCUGACAGCCCAAAGGACUCAGAACUUCAGGCAGGUGUGGCCAAGCCUCGCUGUCUGCGUGACCGUCAAGGGGCAGGGGCUACAGGUUUCACUCUUCAUUCAACACGUGCUGUCAAAUGUCGCCAGACACAGUCCUACAGCCUGAGGAUACAGCAGUGACCAAUAACCAUGCCCCCGAGGACAUUCUAGGGGGGAGGGGGCAAAUAAUACAGGAAUAAAUAAGAAACAAACAAGUA